AUCGGAGCUUGCUCCACCGGGAAAAGAGGAGUGGCGAACGGGUGAGUAACACGUGGGUAACCUGCCCAUCAGAAGGGGAUAACACUUGGAAACAGGUGCUAAUACCGUAUAACAAUCGAAACCGCAUGGUUUCGUUUUGAAAGGCGCUUUACGGUGCCGCUGAUGGAUGGACCCGCGGUGCAUUAGCUAGUUGGUGAGGUAACGGCUCACCAAGGCCACGAUGCAUAGCCGACCUGAGAGGGUGAUCGGCCACAUUGGGACUGAGACACGGCCCAAACUCCUACGGGAGGCAGCAGUAGGGAAUCUUCGGCAAUGGACGAAAGUCUGACCGAGCAACGCCGCGUGAGUGAAGAAGGUUUUCGGAUCGUAAAACUCUGUUGUUAGAGAAGAACAAGGGUGAGAGUAACUGUUCACCCCUUGACGGUAUCUAACCAGAAAGCCACGGCUAACUACGUGCCAGCAGCCGCGGUAAUACGUAGGUGGCAAGCGUUGUCCGGAUUUAUUGGGCGUAAAGCGAGCGCAGGCGGUUUCUUAAGUCUGAUGUGAAAGCCCCCGGCUCAACCGGGGAGGGUCAUUGGAAACUGGGAGACUUGAGUGCAGAAGAGGAGAGUGGAAUUCCAUGUGUAGCGGUGAAAUGCGUAGAUAUAUGGAGGAACACCAGUGGCGAAGGCGGCUCUCUGGUCUGUAACUGACGCUGAGGCU
rnacentral:rRNA from 1 species